rnacentral:rRNA from 1 species
AUUGAACGCUGGCGGCAUGCUUUACACAUGCAAGUCGAACGGCAGCAUGGGUGCUUGCACCUGAUGGCGAGUGGCGAACGGGUGAGUAAUGUAUCGGAACAUAUCCGCAAGUGGGGGAUAACGUAGCGAACGUUACGCUAAUACCGCAUAUUUCCUGAGGGGGAAAGGAGGGGAUCCGCAAGGACCUUUCGCUUACGGAGUGGCCGAUAUCAGAUUAGCUAGUUGGUGGGGUCAAGGCCUACCAAGGCGACGAUCGGUAGCGGGGCGGAGAGGAGGAGCGGCCACACGGGGAAUGAGACACGGCCCAGACUCCGACGGGAGGGAGCAGUGGGGAGUUUUGGACAACGGGGGCAACGCUGAUCCAGCCAUGCCGUGUUAGUGGAGAAGGCCUUCGGGUUGUAACGCGCUUUCAGCUGUAAAAAAAGCGCGUCACCGAUUACGUGGUGUGGAUGAUGGUACCAGCAGAAGAAGCACCGGCUAACUACGUGCCAGCCGCCGCAGUAAGAC